CCUACGGGAGGCAGCAGUGAGGAAUAUUGGUCAAUGGACGAGAGUCUGAACCAGCCAAGUAGCGUGAAGGAUGACUGCCCUAUGGGUUGUAAACUUCUUUUAUAUGGGAAUAAAAUGUUCCACGUGUGGGAUUUUGUAUGUACCAUAUGAAUAAGGAUCGGCUAAAUCCUUGCCAGCAGCCGCGGUAAUACGGAGGAUCCGAGCGUUUUCCGGAUUUAUUGGGUUUAAAGGGGGCGUAGGUGGAUUGUUAAGUCAGUUGUGAAAGUUUGCGGCUCAACCGUAAAAUUGCAGUUGAAACUGGCAGUCUUGAGUACAGUAGAGGUGGGCGGAAUUCGUGGUGUAGCGGUGAAAUGCUUAGAUAUCACGAAGAACCCCGAUUGCGAAGGCAGCUUACUAAACUGUGACUGACAUUGAUGCUCGAAAGUGUGGGUAUCAAACAGGAUUAGAUACCCUAGUAGUC
rnacentral:rRNA from 1 species